UGGCCUUUGCACACUGCUGAGGGUGUAC
rnacentral:piRNA from 1 species